UACAGAGGGUGCGAGCGUUGUCCGGAAUCACUGGGCGUAAAGCGCGUGUAGGCGGUCCGGUAAGUCCGCUGUGAAAGUCGGGGGCUCAACCCUCGAAUGCCGGUGGAUACUGUCGGGCUAGAGUGCGGAAGAGGCGAGUGGAAUUCCUGGUGUAGCGGUGAAAUGCGCAGAUAUCAGGAGGAACACCAAUUGCGAAGGCAGCUCGCUGGGACGUUACUGACGCUGAGACGCGAAAGCGUGGGGAGCAAACAGG
rnacentral:rRNA from 1 species